GAAUGAUUGCCUCUCACGUGCUGACACCAAGCUUCUCUUAAUGCUGCCCAAGAUCAUGUGCAAGAGAGUGACCUGUUUCGACUUCAGCAAUGUUGAAGGUUCUGAAGAGGUGAAAACAAUGAAGAUAAAAUGUAAAGGACCCCUACAGGAAUCUGGGAAAUGUAACCCAUAAGUGAGGUUGGAACCCUACUCUGAACCAGGAAGAAUUGCUAAACGGGACAGGCUAUACCUCUCCCACCUUUGCCUGGGAGUUGACAAACCUCUUACCUAAGGCCCUGAGAGAGUCAAAGAGAAGACUAAAGAUUUCUUCAUUUUUCAAAGAUUAUAGUCGUACUCCGCUGAAAAAAGAGUACUAUAAUACCCAGUGAAACCAGAAGCUGGAUAUGAUGGAGGUGGCAGACGCCUAUUUAAAAGUGGUUUAGGAAGUCCAGUGAAUCGACCCUUCCACAGAGAGGUUGCAUCUUCUGAAGAACCAUCUCAGUGGUGAAUGAGGAACUGUUCUGGGUGAGGAGCUGAUCAACCCUCUCAGUGUAUCCUAGGAGUGUAAUGACUUAUCCAGGAGAAAUGCUGUGCCCUAUGUGGAGAAAGCUCAGCUGAUCUGUUCACCCAGCUGAGAUGCUGUGCCCUUCAAGGAACUAGCUAAUCAUCAGAGCAAAUCAACCAUCACCUAUACCAUGCCGUACAGUGAACUUCAUGAGGACUCUGGAGAAGUUGCAUCAAAGCCCUCAAGUUCCAGAGUUGGUCAAUCUGUGUCACCCAUAUGUCAUGCCAUUUUAAUUUAUGGUUAAGUCCACUCUCCUCCAUGGUAUCUGAAUGUAUGUGUGAGACAAUGUACCCCAGGUUCUGGGGAGGAAUGUUUUGUAACUACUAAUCUUGUCAUGUCAUUUGUAUGA